UCAUCUUCUCCCUCCCUCCCUCUCUCUCUCUCUCUCUCUCUUUCUCUUAUUAUCUUAGGAAGAGAUUGAAAAAAACUCAGGGAAGCAAAGAGGGAGAAAGAGAAAGAGAGAGAGGGGGAGGAAGAAAAAAAA
rnacentral:precursor_RNA from 1 species